GAUGAACGCUGGCGGCGUGCCUAAUACAUGCAAGUCGAGCGAACAGACGAGGAGCUUGCUCCUCUGACGUUAGCGGCGGACGGGUGAGUAACACGUGGAUAACCUACCUAUAAGACUGUGAUAACUUCGGGAAACCGGAGCUAAUACCGGAUAAUAUAUUGAACCGCAUGGUUCAAUAGUGAAAGACGGUUUUGCUGUCACUUAUAGAUGGAUCCGCGCCGCAUUAGCUAGUUGGUAAGGUAACGGCUUACCAAGGCGACGAUGCGUAGCCGACCUGAGAGGGUGAUCGGCCACACUGGAACUGAGACACGGUCCAGACUCCUACGGGAGGCAGCAGUAGGGAAUCUUCCGCAAUGGGCGAAAGCCUGACGGAGCAACGCCGCGUGAGUGAUGAAGGUCUUCGGAUCGUAAAACUCUGUUAUUAGGGAAGAACAAAUGUGUAAGUAACUAUGCACGUCUUGACGGUACCUAAUCAGAAAGCCACGGCUAACUACGUG
rnacentral:rRNA from 1 species